rnacentral:rRNA from 1 species
GCACAAGCGGAGGAGCAUGUGGUUUAAUUCGAUGAUACGCGAGGAACCUUACCUGGGCUUAAAAUGCUUAAUGACGUACUGGGAAACUGGUAUUUCUUCGGACAUUUUGCAAGGUGCUGCAUGGUUGUCGUCAGCUCGUGCCGUGAGGUGUCGGGUUAAGUCCCAUAACGAGCGCAACCCCUAUUGUUAGUUGCCAUCAGGUCAUGCUGGGGACUCUAACAAAACUGCCCGCGUAAGCGUGGAGGAAGGUGGGGAUGACGUCAAAUCAGCACGGCCCUUACGUCCAGGGCUACACACGUGCUACAAUGGCCGGUACAGAGGGCAGCCACUUGGUGACAAGGAGCAAAUCUCAAAAGCCGGUCUCAGUUCGGAUCGGAGUCUGCAACUCGACUCCGUGAAGUUGGAUUCGCUAGUAAUCGUAGAUCAGCAAUGCUACGGUGAAUACGUUCCCGGGCCUU